rnacentral:hammerhead_ribozyme from 1 species
AGACUGUUGAAGAGUCCCAUAAUAGGACAAAACGGUCGUCCAGUGC